GUAUCAUUACCGGAUGAGGGGCCUCCCCGACUAGGGGUGGCCCCGAAUUUCCCCACCCGUGUCGAUUGUUACCGUGUUGCUUCCGCGGGCCUGCCGUGAUGGCUGCCGGGGAGUUGCGUCCCGUGAGGGGGCUGCUUCCGGGCGUGCUGCCCGCCGGGGACUUUCCCAAAAUGCUGCUUUGUCGGUUCGGGGGUUGUGGUCUGAGUGAAGAGAAAUAGAUCAACCAAAACUUUCAACAAUGGAUCUCUUGGUUCCGGCAUCGAUGAAGAACGCAGCGAAAUGCGAUAGGUAAUGCGAAUUGCAGAAUUCCGCGAGUCAUCGAAUCUUUGAACGCACAUUGCGCCCCUCGGCUCUCCGGGGGGCAUGCCUGUCCGAGCGUCAUCACUAUCCGCUCGAGCCUUUUGGCUUGGUUGUUGGGUCAUUGUCCCUCCCAUGCUCUGGGGAGGAGGGACAGGCCCGAAAGGCAGUGGUAGCUCUGGGAGCGGUCCGCGGGCGGUGGUGCAGACGAGGGAAGUCUCUCCUCUACCGCCCGGUGUGUUGCACCUAGUGGCUUUGCCGGAGGGUGUCGGUUUCUGGGGAGAGAAGUCCGCUUCCUCCCCUUCAGGUUGACCUCGGAUCAGGUAGGGAUACCCGCUGAACUUAAGCAUA
rnacentral:rRNA from 1 species